rnacentral:misc_RNA from 1 species
GGCUCAGCAGCUUGGGCCCUGGGCCAAGCUCACUCGUGUCUCUCUUCCCAUUCCCUCACCGUCACCGUCUUCAAAGCCGCAACACAGAAGCAACUCCUCGCCGCGGCACAAGACAACGUCGCCUGCCUUCAACCUCGCUGCAUCACUGAAGCAACUCGUCGGUGCUCCUCGCAGCUACUGCAGGAGUGGACGUUCUCUUUAUAGCCUCCUUUAUUGCAGGGUUCAGCUUUUCCAGUAGAUAGCAUCAAAAGAUAGGCAGAUGAAGUCAGUGGUGGGGAUGGUGGUGUCUAAUAAGAUGCAGAAGUCAGUGGUGGUGGCCGUCGAUAGGCUCUUCCACCACAAGAUCUACAACCGCUAUGUCAAACGCACCUCCAAGUUCAUGGCACAUGACGAGCACAACCUUUGCAACAAUGGCGAUCGAGUUAGACUGGAUCCUUCUAGGCCAUUAAGCAAGCGAAAGCAUUGGGUUGUUGCUGAAAUUCUGAAGAAAGCACGGAUUUAUGUGCCACCAUCCGCUGAUAACCCUGUGGGUUUAGAUAGCAAAACUGAAGUGCAAACUUCUUCAACCUCUUGAGCUUAGAUCAAAUUCAAUGUGCCUUCUGGGUUUGUCUUUCAAUUUCAUUUUGUUUUAUGUUGCAAAUAAUGAUAAGUAUAAUGAAUUGUGCAAAUGUAUAAGCUAAUGGUCAUAGGUUUCACAAUUUCGAAAGUAGUAUCAUUAAAUGUAUAACCCAUAUUAGUUUGUGGGCCUUUUAAGAUGCUAUCUCAUUUGUCUAGACAUGGGCUUUUUUAAAUUCUUGUUUAAAUAAUCAGGAAAAAUUGUGGAAAAUAGGGUACACUUAGCAUCUUGCUUUGAUUUGUGUUGGCUACAUGUUUCAGGACUUCUUAAAUAAUGUUAUGUGGUUUAGGCCCUUGGAGUGCUAGAAUGGAAUCAUAGUAGCAUGUAGUGGAAAAUGGUAAAACCACAAGCGGAGGUCUUGUGCUUGUGUAUGGAAAAUAGUAGCUGAUUCUAUAUUUUAUUUCUUUAUGACAGGUCGAUAUACAUUUCUUUCAAGAUACCUGGAAAUCAAGAUAGCCAACUCCUAAAGAGUUGCUAAGAAAGGAGCAUUCAAGAUGGUUCUUUGUUUACUUCCAAUUUUGUAUGCUAUUCUGUUUCAAAAAUAGCUGGAACUCCAUGUUGGUAACUUGUUGAUGAUGAGAAUUGAUUUUUUUUGCAUAUUCUGUCUCAAUAAGUCUUUCAGGAACUCCUUUUCCCCCUCCUCCCUCUCGUUCAAUAGUACAAGUUUUAUAUAUAUAAUAAGUUCG